CGCCCCAGCCUGGGAACCCCGAGCCGUGGGGACGAGGAGAAGGGGAAGCAGUUCGCUCAGCUGGAGGGCGGUGGACUGGCUGGGCUCAGAGAAGGGGCGAAAACAACAAGGCAGAGAUGCCCUGAGAGGAGGAGGAAGGGACCCGGGCUGGUGCGGCCGUCCGUGUGAAUGCAGCUGAGCUCCUCAAGGCCAAGAGGCAGGAGAGGGAGGAAAUGUCACAGUCUGAGGGCAUACACUGGAGACAGGGGUCAGCCCGGUGGAGGUGGCUUUGGGGCCCGGGAGAGCAAGGUAAGUCAGGUCCGGGUGCAGUUAGCAAGCCUGAGAGCCGCGUCCACAUCUGUGGCCCGAUCAGGGCAUGGAGGAGACAGAGCUCGGUGCCACUGCUUAGGGCUUGACCUUUCGUGGGCAAAGACUUGCCUGGGAGUCUCCCAAGAGAUUUUAGAUGCUCCGAGUCUGCACCUAGGAGCUCCACUGGCGGUGCUUGGAUCUGGCUUCGUGCUCUGUGGUUUUGAACGCACAGUCUUCGCGCUGCCCGGGGUCCAGGCGGCGGUGAGCAGUGAGGAGCUGUCUCAAGGCGUGAGUCUCUUCUCAGGCGAUCCCAGAUAAGAGGAAAUGAGAGAGAGGUUUUCUGACUUCCAACUCAUUAGGGACCAGCACUCUUGGAGCUCUGUGGGGUUUGUACAGACAAAACAUCACAGCAGAACCAUUACCAAGCUUCAGAGACAUUGUGGGGUCUCCUGCAAAUCAAAAUGUUUUUUAAUGUAUGACAUGUAUGAAGUUGAUGAAAAUUCAUGACUUUUCUCCAUCACGACUGUUUCAGCUGAGAAAGAUUCACUCUUCAUCACGGCAAGAGGGGGCACCUGUGGCCCUUAACAAAGUCGCCCUUCCCUCUGCUCCAUAGAAACCACCAGCCUCAGGAUAAAUAUUUUACUUUGGAUAUGCAUUUCACAAUCAACAAUAAAGAGAUCUCAAAAACACGUGAAUAAUCAGGCGAGCAACUGGAUAACUGAUUCCCACUAGGGAACCUAAGCGGUGUUCCGACGAGAGGAUGGCAGGAUUCUAAGACACUGGUACAGACAGACUGGAAUUGUAGAAAUGGCAGCAGACUUCCUGGUUGCCAUCUUGAUGAAGAGCAACACUACGGAAGUGCACUGAGUGGGGCAGCCCAGCAGACUCGGCCAUUAAAGGAACUAGAAAACAGACGCUCAGUGCUCUAUCCUCAUGCUACAUGCCAUAACACUGCGGGAGGGCGUCAAGCACCCGGGGAGCCUAACACCGGUGUUGGAGGCACUUUACAGAAAAAGAAGUCAAGGCUCGGAAGUUCAGCUCGGUCCUGCUUCUUUCACCAUCACAGCAUGACAGUUUCAUCGUUUUAAUUAAGUUUAAGAUGCGUCCUCCGAGGCAUAAGGUCUAAGUUCUACUUAGCGUAUGCUGGGCACGAGAAAUAAUAUUGGACACAUAAUGGGGAAUUUUCUCCUCUGUCCUCAGAGCGAUAGCUUUAGCCUGCGUAGAGUACUCCCGCAGGCUCACUCCGCAUUGCCUGGUGUCCUACCCGGAGUCACAGGCUUUGGAGACAAACCUGCCACGUUUGGAAUAGCAGUGGAGAUCCGAGUCAAUGUGGAAUUUAUACAGCAGCUGGUGCCAGUCAGGGCUAAUGAUGAGACUUCAGCUUAAUAAAAAGACCCCCAACUGAGCACAACCAUCUUGAAGAAAGUAUACUUCUCCAACAGCUUUCAAUCAGUUCAAGAGAGACACCUUAAUUGGGAAGAGGAAGAGCUGCGUGGCAGCCGUCGCCCUGCCAAUCUCGGAUCGAUAGCGUUGCCCCUGCUCUUCCGCGCACGUCGCCUCGCCUUACGCCAUCUGCACCCUCCCCACUGGAAUGGGGAUCUCUGUUUCAGCGGCGACUGUUUGGUGAUGCCCCCUUCUGAUUCACCCACUUUGCGCUAGCAGCCCUCGGUGAAGUCCAGAUGUGUAAUUAGGAAGCCCAAUGUCUUUAAAAUUAAAACUUCUGUUCCUUGUUAUUGGAAAUCAGUGCUUUUGACAUUUUGUGUUUAAAAAAAAAAACACAUUUUCUUGAAAUAAAGCCACACAAACGAAAUAAAAUUAUGGUGAUUUCACUUUAAGGAGAGACGGCUGAAUGGAUGGUAACCUGAGGAGAAUGCGCACCAUCUAUUAACGGGAAAGAGAAGAAGGGUGUGUUUCUUCUGGCAGGAAGGAGUUGCCAUACUGAAGGAGAGUUAUGACCGGACUGUCAAGCCUUAAUCUUCUCUUAGAAGGAAGUAGUCAUGUUUAAAGGCCUCUGGUAUCAGUGGUGCAGUGGGAACACUGGAGUGGCUAUACAGGUGAGGGAGCAAGGAAGAUGGCAAAGAAGCAGCCUAAGAGGUCAAGGCCCGAGAGGGAGCCUUCUGCAGUGCUCUUUGCUCAUUUCCGGUCCAGCCUGUUUCGUCCCGCUUUCCCCAGCCCUACCACCUUUGCUCCGGGUCCACCCCUUUCUCCUCUUUCCC